rnacentral:rRNA from 1 species
AUUGAACGCUGGAGGCGUGCUUAACACAUGCAAGUCGUGCGAGAAAGGGGCUUCGGUCCUGAGUAGAGCGGCGCACGGGUGAGUAACGCGUGGGUGAUCUCCCUUGGUGAUCGGGAUAACAGCGGGAAACUGCUGCUAAUACCGGAUAAUCUUCAUGUUUAACUUCAUGGGGUAAAGGUGGCCUCUGCUUGCAAGCUACCACAUCAAGAUGAGCCCGCGUCUCAUUAGCUAGUUGGUAGGGUAAUGGCCUACCAAGGCUACGAUGAGUAGCUGGUCUGAGAGGAUGACCAGCCACACUGGGACUGGAACACGGCCCAGACUCCUACGGGAGGCAGCAGUGGGGAAUAUUGCGCAAUGGGCGAAAGCCUGACGCAGCGACGCCUCGUGAGGGAUGAAGGUCUUCGGAUCGUAAACCUCUGUCAAGAGGGAAGAAACCCUUGGAUUCGAAUAGGGUCCUUGGCUGACGGUACCUCAAAAGGGAGCACCGGCUAACUCCGUGCCAGCAGCCGCGGUAAUACGGAGGGUGCAAGCGUUAAUC